rnacentral:lncRNA from 1 species
AUUCAUGUGUAGAGAUUACAAACGUACACAACAAUAAAAUUAACUUACUUGUUGUGUAGUAAAAGUGCGUCUCGAUCCUUGCCGUGAAUCCACUACUAAGGUAUCCACGUGCAUGUCGAUCCGAUGCAGGAACAAUUCCCAGUGCAUGUUUCAAUCUUCGACAGCUAGGAAAUCUCCGAUUGAAACCAUAGUACUCUCUAGGUGUUUUCUCUUCUAAUGUUUUC